CCCUGCCCAUUGUGAUCUGAUCGCUCAAGCUAUGGUACGGAAAAUCUUCAAAUUCUUCUAGUCUCUCAUACUUAUGUAGUAAAUUGAUUUCCUGCUUAAUCGCUGUAAAUUUUAGUUGUUCAACUCUGCAAACUGAAGGUGCUCUGGUCCGUGGUAGCCUGGUAGGAGUCACAUCAAUAGAAAAAUCUUCUGAACAUUGGGCGUACAUACAGUUUGCAUUUUCGCUCGGUUUGAUUGCUUCUCGGUUGGGUUGCUUGUUGUUUACAGAUCGUGGGGAGAAAUGAAAAACUAUCAGCCUGGAUGGUGCUCCAUCGUGUCUGGCGUACAACCUGUUGCGUGGCAAUGACGGCUUUGCGGGGCGGCAAUGUUGGCACUGGGCGCCGGCGACCACCUUUGGCUCUGCUCCUUGUCACCGUUUUGCCAUUCGUCCUCGCGUGUGGCCCUCGCGGCAAAACUCUAGACAUCAGGUGGGGAUUGGUGACCAUCGCCGUUGUUGCCUUGGAGCUACCAGCGCACGAUUCCACCUCUGACAUUUCAUGCCCGAUUGCUAUUUAUUGGACUCAUUCCACUUGAUCUCAAGUGAUGCGAUCAUACAGGUCUGUCUAGGCGCCUCCCUUGUCUGUUUGUAGUUGCUUUCUGGCAAGUAGUACAAAUUGGUCUAGCCACAGCCCACAGCCGCACCUGUGCCCUUGCAUUCAAACAAAUGGAAUUAAGAUUCGAAGUUAGUAGAAAACUGAUAACAUGUUCAGAAUUUUCACAUCGCACAACCAAGUAAAAUCCGAUAGAGAGGGGACACGAAAAUGGCGCAUCCAUGUUUUGAUUGCAUCCGUGUAUUCAACAAUCACAUAGCAUGUUAUGUUUCACCCGGAAAAUAAAAAAUAAAAGAUCACAGAACAUAUUUUACUUUAAAUUUCUUCAUUACCUUAGUGAAUUAGAGAAUAGAACAAUAAUGUAUCUUUUGUUGUGAGCAUGAUUGCAUGAAUAGUACAUCUAGUUCAGCAAAAAAAGGAUCAGGAGAAAAUAUUUGAUAGUUGGAAACCAACUAUAUGAGUUAUAAUAUUCAAAUAUGCUAAUUAUUUGCUUAAUGAAAUUCUCACUAUAUAUAUUCAGAAGUAUAACAGAGUUACAUAGGUGUUACCCUGCUGAUUUGGCUCUACUGAUUUUCUUAUUUCUGCCAUCUGGCAGUUCUUAUCUAAUAAUGGCUAUCAUUUGCCAUUGAUAAUAUUAUCUCAUAGUUUAAUUCUGCCCAUAGCGCAGGAUUUGAUUUCAUUCACCGUCCAUUAUUUAGCUACUUCAACGUCCUACUAGCCUUGCUAUCUCUAAGGGGAAACAUAAAUGUCGAAUGAUGUUGCCAUUCCUGACACUGAAAAAUGGUCAUGUUAUGACCGGUUUGGUCUAUACUAGGAAAAGGCCCACCGGGCAUUAGUAUUAGGCGCUUGGCCCACAAGUUAUCUUAGGCAAGUUAUCUUAGGCUAAAGUUAUAAAUACUCGUGUAAGACAUCGUUUGAGAUCAAGCAAUAAGAAGAAUAUUGUCUCCUAUUGCCCGGCUCCCUGAGGAGCCGGAAACCCUAGCCGCCAACAGCUCUAACCGCCGCCGCCCUUCUCCUAGCUCGCGACAGCGCCCUGCCGCCGACGCGCCCGUUCCUCGCCAUGCCCUCCUCCAUCCUUCCCUUACCACCUACGGCCUAGACCUGGUAGAGUACUUGAUUCUACCAAUUUGGUAUCCAGAGACACCAGGCCGAUCAUGUCACUCCAUCCAUCACCGCCGCCGUUACCAUCCACCUCCGUUCCGCUCUCGCUGCCGCCGGCCACUUCCACGGCGAUGACGGAGAUCGCGUCCGGGACCACCGCCCCCUCCGCGCCAGUGGCCAUCACCACUACGGGGGAUCCGCCCCCGCUCCUCUCACCAACGAAGGUGUCGGGCACCCUGCGGGAGCUUGUCCAGGCGGUCAGGUGUUGGGGAACGUAGCAGAAAUUCAAAAUUUUCUACGCAUCACCAAGAUCAAUCUAUGGAGUAAUCUAGCAACGAGGGGAAGGAGAGUGCAUCUACAUACCCUUGUAGAUCGCUAAGCGGAAGCGUUCAAGUGAACGGGGUUGAUGGAGUCGUACUCGUCGUGAUCCAAAUCACCGAUGAUCCUAGUGCCGAACGGACGGCACCUUCGUGUUCAACACACGUACAGCCCGGUGACGUCUCCUACACCUUGAUCCAGCAAGGGGAGAAGGAGAGGUUGGGGAAGACUCCAUCCAGCAGCAGCACGACGGCGUGGUGGUGGUGGAGGAGCGUGGUACUCCAGCAGGGCUUCGCCAAGCACCGCAAGAGACGAGGAGGGAGAGGGGUAGGGCUGCGCCAAGAAGGAGAUUGAAUCGUGUCUAUGGCAGCCCAAAACCUCACGUAUAUAUAGGGGGAGGAGAGGGGCUGCGCCCCCACCUAGGUUUCCACCCCUAGGGGUGGCGGCCAGCCCUAGAUUCCAUCUAGGGGGGCGGCCAAGGGGGAAGAGAGGGGGGCGCACCACUAGGUGGGCCUUAGGCCCAUCUGAGCCUAGGGUUUUGCCCCCUUCCACUCUCCCUUGCGCCUUGGGCCUUGGAGGGGGGGCGCACCAGCCCACCAGGGGCUGGUCCCCUCCCACACUUGGCCCAUGCAGCCCUCCGGGGCUGGUGGCCCCACUUGGUGGACCACCGGGACCCUCCCGGUGGUCCUGGUACAUUACCGAUAAAACCCAAAACUUUUCCGGCGACCAAAACAGGACUUCCCAUAUAUAAAUCUUUACCUCCGGACCAUUCCGGAACUCCUCGUGACGUCCGGGAUCUCAUCCAGGACUCCGAACAACAUUCGGUAACCACGUAUAUCUAUUCCCUAUAACCCUAGCGUCAUCGAACCUUAAGUGUGUAGACCCUAUGGGUUCGGGAACCAUGCAGACAUGACCGAGACGUUCUUCGGUCAAUAACCAACAGCGGGAUCUGGAUACCCAUGUUGGCUCCCACAUGCUCCACGAUGAUCUCAUUGGAUGAACCACGAUGUCAAGGACUUAAUCAACCCCGUAUACAAUUCCCUUUGUCUAGCGGUACGAUACUUGCCCGAGAUUCGAUCGUCGGUAUCCCGAUACCUUGUUCAAUCUCGUUACCGGCAAGUCUCUUUACUCAUUCCGUAACACAUCAUCCCGUGAUCAACUCCUUGAUCACAUUGUGCACAUUAUGAUGAUGUCCUACUGAGUGGGCCCAGAGAUACCUCUCCGUUUACAAGGAGUGACAAAUCCCAGUCUCGAUUCGUGCCAACCCAACAGACACUUUCGGAGAUACCUGUAGUGUACCUUUAUAGCCACCCAGCUACGUUGUGACGUUUGGCACACCCAAAGCACUCUUACAGUAUCCGGGAGUUGCACAAUCUCAUGGUCUAAGGAAAUGAUACUUGACAUUAGAAAAGCUUUAGCAUACGAACUACAUGAUCUUGUGCUAGGCUUAGGAUUGGGUCUUGUCCAUCACAUUAUUCUCCUAAUGAUGUGAUACCGUUAUCAACGACAUCCAAUGUCCAUAGUCAGGAAACCGUAACCAUCUAUUGAUCAACGAGCUAGUCAACUAGAGGCUUACUAGGGACAUGGUGUUGUCUAUGUAUCCACACAUGUAUCUGAGUUUCCUAUCAAUACAAUUCUAGCAUGGAUAAUAAACGAUUAUCAUGAACAAGGAAAUAUAAUAAUAACCAAUUUAUUAUUGCCUCUAGGGCAUAUUUUCAACAGUAUCCCACUUACACUAGAGUCAAUAAUCCAGUUCACAUCGAUAUGUGAUUAACACUCAAGGUCACAUCCCCAUGUGACUAACACCCAAAGAGUUCUGGGUUUGAUCAUGUUAUGCUUGUGUGAGAGGUUUCAUUCAACGGGUCUGCAACAUUCAGAUCCGUAUGUACUUCACAAAUUUCUAUGUCAUCUUGUAGAUGCAACUACUACGCUACAUUUGGAGCCAUUUCAAAUAACUGUUCUACUUGGAGCUAUUCUAAAUUGUUGCUCCAUUAUAGUAUCCGGUAUCUCUACUCAGAGCUAUCCGGAUAGGUGUUAACCUUGCAUCAACGUAACUUUUUACGUCGAACUCUUUAUCACCUCCAUAACCGAGAAACAUAUCCUUAUUCCUCUAAGGAUAAUUUAGACCGCUAUCUGGUGAUCUACUCCUAGAUUACCUUUGUACCCUCUUGCCAGAUAUGUGGCAAGGCACACAUCAGGUGCGGUACUCAGCAUGGCAUACCGUAUAGAGCCUAUGACAAAAUCAUACGGGACGACCUUCGUCCUUCCUCUUUCUUCUGCCGUGGUCGAGCUUUAAGUCUUAACUUCAUACCUUACAACUCAGGCAAGAACUCCUUCUUUGACUGAUCCAUCUUGAACACCUUCAAGAUCAUGUCAAGGUAUGUGCUCAUUUGAAAGUACCAUUAAGCGUUUUGAUCUAUCCUUAUAGAUCUUGAUGCUCAAUGUUCAAGUAUCUUAAUCCAGGCUUUCCAUUGAAAAACACUUUCCAAAUAACCCUAUAUGCUUUCCAGAAAUUCUACGUCAUUUCUGAUCAACAAUAUGUCAACAGCAUAUAUUCAUCAGAAAUUCUAUAGUGCUCCCACUCACUUCUUUGGAAAUACAAGUUUCUCAUAAACUUUGUAUACACCCAAAAUCUUUGAUCAUCUCAUCCAAGCAUACAUUCCAACUACGAGAUGCUUACUCCAGUCCUUAGAAGGAUUGCUGGAGCUUUGCAUACUUGCUAGCAUCUUUCAGGAUUGACAAAACCUUCCGGUUGUAUCACAAACAAACUUUCCUCAAGAAAAUAGUCAAGGAAACAAUGUUUUGACAUCCUAUCUGCAAGAUUUCAUAAAUAAUGCAGUAAUCGAUAAUAUAAUUCCAACAGACUCUUAGCAUCACUACGAGUGAGAAAGUCUCAUCGUAGUCAACUCCUUGAACUUGUCGGAAAACAUCUUAACGAUAAGUCGAGCUUUCUUAAUGGUGAUACAUACCAUCAUUGUCCGUCUUCCUUUUAAAAUCCAUAUGUACCUAACAGCCUUACGACCAUGAAGUAGUUCUUUCAAUGUCUACACUUUGUUUUCAUAUAUGGAUCCUCUCUCGGAUUAUAUGGCCUCGAGCCAUUUUGUAAUCCAGACCCACCAUCGCUUCUCCAUAGCUCGUAGGUUCAUUGUUGUCUAGCAACAUGACUUCCAAGACAGGAUUACGUACCACUCUGAAGUAGUACGCAUCCUUGUCAUCCCACGAGGUUUGGUAGUGACUUGAUCUGAAGCUUUAUGAUCACUAUCAUAAGCUUCCACUUCAAUUGGUGUAGGUGCCACAGGAACAACUCCCUGUGCCCUGCCACACACUAGUUGAAGAGAUGGUUCAAUAACCUCAUCAAGUCUCCACCAUCCUCCCACUCAAUUCUUUCGAGAGAAACUUUUCCUCGAGAAAGGACCCAAUUCUAGAAACAAUCCCUUAUUGCUUUCAGAUCUGAGACAGGAGGUAUACCCAACUGUUUUGGGUGUCCUAUGAAGAUGCAUUUAUCCGCUUUGGGUUCGAGCUUAUCAGCCUGAAACUUUUCCACAUAAGCGUCGCAGCCCCAAACUUUUAAGAAAUGACAGCUUAGGUUUCUCUAAACCAUAGUUCAUACGGUGUCAUCUCAUCGGAAUUACGUGGUGCCCUAUUUAAAGUGAAUGUGGUUGUCUCUAAUGCCUAACCCAUAAACCAUCAUUGUAAUUCGAUAAGGGACAUCAUGGUAUGCAUCAUAUCCAAUAGGGUGCAGUUAUGAUGUUCGGACACACCAUCACACUAUGGUGUUCCAGGCUGUAUUAGUUGUGAAACAAUUUCCACAAUGUCUUAAUUCUGUGCCAAACUCGUAAUUCAGAUAUUCAUCUCUAUGAUCAUAUCAUAGAUAUUUUAUCCUCUUGCCACGAUGAUCUUUCAACUUCACCCUGAAAUUACUCGAACCUUUCAAUAAUUUAGACUCGUGAUUCAUCAAGUAAAUAUACUCAACAUCUACUCAAAUCAUCUGUGAAGUAAGAACAUAACGAUAUCCACUACACGCCUCAUCACUCAUUGGACUGCACACAUCAAAAUGUAUUACUUCCAACAAGUUGCUUUCUAGUUCCAUUUUACUGAAAACGAGGCUUUCAGUCAUCUUGCCCAUGUGGUAUGAUUUGCAUGUCUCAAGUGAUUCAAAAUCAAGUGAGACCAAACGGUCCAUUUGCAUGGAGUUUCUUCAUGCAUAUACACCAAUAGACAUGGUUCGCAUGUCUCAAACUUUUCAAAACGAGUGAGCCCAAAGAUCCAUCAACAUGGAGAUUCUUCAUGCGUUUUAUACCGAUAUGACUUACGUGGCAGUGCCACAAGUAGGUGGUACUAUCAUUACUAUCUUAUAUCUUUUGGCAUGAACAUGUGUAUCACUACGAUCGAGAUUCAAUAAACCAUUCAUUUUAGGUGAAAGACCAUUGAAGGUAUUAUUCAAAUAAACAGAGUAACCAUUAUUCUCCUUAAAUGAAUAACCGUAUUGCAAUAGACAUAAUCCAAUCAUGUCUAUGCUCAACGCAAACACCAAUCUCGAUGGUAGAGGGAGCGUGCGAUGCUUGAUCACAUCAAGCUUGGAAAAACUUCCAACACAUAUCGCCAGCUCACCUUUAGCUAGUCUCCGUUUACUCAACAGCCUUUUAUUUCGAGUUUACUUACACUUAGCAACCGAACCGGUAUCUAAUACCAUGGUGCUACUAGGAGUACUAGUAAAGUACACAUUAACACAAUGUAUAUCCAAUAUACUUCUAUCGACCUUGCCAGCCUCCUCAUCUACCAAGUAUCUAGGGUAAUUCUGCUCCAGUGGCUGUUCCCCUUAUUACAGAAGCACUUAGUCUCGGGUUUGGGUUCAACCUUGGGUUUCUUCACUAGAGCAGCAGUUGAAUUGCCGUUUCAUGAAGUAUCCCUUCUUGCCCUUGCCCUUGCCCUUCUUGAAACUGGUGGUUUCACCAACCAUCAAAUAUUGAUGCUCCUUCUUGAUUUCUACUUUUGUGGUGUCAAACAUCGUGAAUAUCUCAAGGAUCAUCAUAUAUGUCCCUGAUAUACUAUAGUUCAUCAUGAAGCUCUAGCAGCUUGGUGGUAAUGACUUCGGAGAAACAUCACUAUCUCAUCUGGAAGAUCAACUCCCACUCGAUUCAAAUGAUUGUUGUACUCAGACAAUCUGAGCACAAGCUCAACAAUUGAGCUUUUCUCCCUUAGUUUGCAGGCUAAGAAAAUCGUCGGAGGUCUUAUACCUCUUGACGUGGGCACGAGCCUGAAAUCCCAAUUUCAGCCCUCGAAACAUCUCAUAUGUUUCGCGACGUUUCAAAACGUCUUCGGUGCCUCAACUCUAAACCGUUUAACUGAACUAUCAUGUAGUUAUCAAAAUGUGUAUGUCAGAUGUUCGCAACAUCCACAGACGACAUUCGAGGUUCAGCACACUGAGCGGUGCAUUAAGGACAUAAGCCUUCUAUGAAGCAAUGAGGACAAUCCUCAGUUUACGGACCUAGUCCGCAUAAUUGCUACUAUCAUCUUUCAACUACAUUUUCUCUAGGAACAUAUCUAAACAGUAGAACUGAAGCGCGAGCUACGACAUAAUUUGCAAAGACCUUUUGACUAUGUUCAGGAUAAUUAAGUUCAUCUUAUGAACUCCCACUCAGAUAGACAUCCCUCUAGUCAUCUAAGUGAUUACAUGAUCCGAGUCAACUAGGCCGUGUCCGAUCAUCACGUGAGACGGACUAGUCAUCAUCGGUGAACAUCUUCAUGUUGAUCGUAUCUUCUAUACGACUCAUGUUCGACCUUUCGGUCUUCCGUGUUCUGAGGCCAUGUCUGUACAUGCUAGGCUCGUCAAGUCAACCUAAGUGUUUGCAUGUGUAAAUCUAUCUUACACCCGUUGUAUGUGAACGUUGGAAUCUAUCACACCCGAUCAUCACGUGGUGCUUCGAAACAACGAACUGUCGCAACGGUGCACAGUUAGGGGGAACACUUUCUUGAAAUUAUUAUGAGGGAUCAUCUUAUUUACUACCGUCAUUCUAAGUAAACAAGAUGCAAAAACAUGAUAAACAUCACAUGCAAUCAAAUAAUAGUGACAUGAUAUGGCCAAUAUCAUAUAGCUCCUUUGAUCUUCAUCUUGGGGCUCCAUGAUCAUCUUGUCACCGGCAUGACACCAUGAUCUCCAUCAUCAUGAUCUCCAUCAUCGUGUCUCCAUGAAGUUGCUCGCCAACCAUUACUUCUACUACUAUGGCUAACACGUUUAACAAUAACGUAAAGUAAUUUACAUGGCGUUUCUCAAUGACACGCAGGUCAUACAAAAAAUAAAGACAACUCCUAUGGCUCCUGCCGGUUGUCAUACUCAUCGACAUGCAAGUCGUGAUUCCUAUUACAAGAACAUGAUCUCAUACAUCACAUAUAUAUCAUUCAUCACAUCCUUUGGCCAUAUCACAUCACAAAACACUUGCUGCAAAAACAAGUUAGUCGUCCUCUAAUUGUUGUUGCAAGUUUUUACGUGGCUGCUAUAGGUUUCUAGCAAGAACGUUUCUUACCUACGCCAAAACCACAACGUGAAUUACCAGUUUCUAUUUACCCUUCAUAAGGACCCUGUUCAUCGAAUCCGAUCCGACUAAAGUGGGAGAGACAGACACCCGCCAGCCACCUUAUGCAACUAGUGCAUGUCAGUCGGUGGAACCGGUCUCAUGUAAGCGUACGUGUAAGGUUGGUCCGGGCCGCUUCAUCCCACGAUGCCGUCGAAUCAAGAUAAGACUAGUAACGGCAAGAUAAUUGACAAUAUCGACGCCCACAACUACUUUGUGUUCUACUCGUGCAUAGCAACUACGCAUAGACCUAGCUCAUGAUGCCACUAUUGGGGAACGUAGCCGAAAUUCAAAAUUUUCUAUGCAUCACCGAGAUCAAUCUAUGGAGUAAUCUAGCAACGAGGGGAAGGAGAGUGCAUCUACAUACCCUUGUAGAUCGCUCAGCGGAAGCGUUCAAGUGAACGGGGUUGAUGGAGUCGUACUCGUCGUGAUCCAAAUCACCGAUGAUCCUAGUGCCGAAUGGACGGCACCUCCGUGUUCAACACACGUACAGCCCGGUGACGUCUCCUACGCCUUGAUCCGGCAAGGGUAGAAGGAGAGGUUGGGGAAGACUCCAUCCAGCAGCAGCACGAUGGCGUGGUGGUGGUGGAGGAGCGUGGUACUCCAGCAGCGCUUCGCCAAGCACCGCAAGAGACAAGGAGGGAGAGGGGUAGGGCUGCGCCAAGAAGGAGAUUGAAUCGUGUCUAUGGCAGCCCAAAACCUCAAGUAUAUAUAGGGGAGGGGAAGGGCUACGCCCCCACCUAGGUUUCCACCCCUAGGGGUGCCGGCCAGCCCUAGAUCCCAUCUAGGGGGGCGGCCAAGGGGGAAGAGAGGGGGGCACACCACUAGGUGGGCCUUAGGCCCAUCUGAGCCUAGGGUUUUGCCCCCUUCCACUCUCCCUUGCGCCUUGGGCCUUAGUGGGGGGGGGGGGGAGGGGCGCACCAGCCCACCAGGGGCUGGUCCCCUCCCACACUUGGCCCAUGCAGCCCUCCGGGGCUGGUGGCCCCACUUGGUGGACCACCGGGACCCUCCCGGUGGUGCCGGUACAUUACCGAUAAAACCCGAAACUUUUCCGGCGACCAAAACAGGACUUCCCAUAUAUAAAUCUUUACCUCCGGACCAUUUCGGAACUCCUCGCGACGUCCGAGAUCUCAUCUGGGACUCCGAACAACAUUCCGUAACCACAUAUAUCUAUUCCCUAUAACCCUAGCGUCAUCGAACCUCAAGUGUGUAGACCCUACGGGUUCUGGAACCAUGCAGACAUGACCGAGACGUUCUCCGGUCAAUAACCAACAGCGGGAUCUGGAUACCCAUGUUGGCUCCCACAUGCUCCACGAUGAUCUCAUCGGAUGAACCACGAUGUCAAGGAUUUAAUCAAUCCCGUAUACAAUUCCCUUUGUCUAGCGGUACGAUACUUGCCCGAGAUUCGAUCGUCGGUAUCCCGAUACCUUGUUCAAUCUCGUUACCAGCAAGUCUCUUUACUCGUUCCGUAACACAUCAUCCCGUGAUCAACUCCUUGAUCACAUUGUGCACAUUAUGAUGAUGUCCUACCGAGUGGGCCCAGAGAUACCUCUCCGUUUACACGGAGUGACAAAUCCCAGUCUCGGUUCGUGCCAACCCAACAGACACUUUCGGAGAUACCUGUAGUGUACCUUUAUAGCCACCCAGUUACGUUGUGACGUUUGGCACACCCAAAGCACUCCUACGGUAUCCGGGAGUUGCACAAUCUCAUGGUCUAAGGAAAUGAUACUUGACAUUAGAAAAGCUUUAGCAUACGAACUACAUGAUCUUGUGCUAGGCUUAGGAUUGGGUCUUGUCCAUCACAUUAUUCUCCUAAUGAUGUGAUCCCGUUAUCAACGACAUCCAAUGUCCAUGGUCAGGAAACCGUAACCAUCUAUUGAUCAACGAGCUAGUCAACUAGAGGCUUACUAGGGACAUGGUGUUGUCUAUGUAUCCACACAUGUAUCUGAGUUUCCUAUCAAUACAAUUCUAGUAUGGAUAAUAAACGAUUAUCAUGAACAAGGAAAUAUAAUAAUAACCAAUUUAUUAUUGCCUCUAGGGCAUAUUUCCAACAUCAGGGGUAUGACCCUCUACCUCGCCGGGAACCAGCCCCCACCACCGAGCGCCGUCACCACCGCCAACGGACCGCCGCCGCUACAGUAGGCCGCCCCGGCCCUCCAGGCGCCCUCCACAGGGGCGCCCCAGCCGCCGCUGCUGCUGCCGCACUACUCGGCGGCGGGACAGCCUUGGCCAGCGUGGUCGGCCUCCACCGCGCCGCUGGGGGGCCCGACCUAGCAGUUUCUUCCGACGCCACCGCCGCCCCCCUCGACGCAGGCGCCGGUGCAGCAGCUCCACCCGGCGCUACCGCCAUCGUCAGCACCACCACCCGCGUCUCGGGCCACGGAUCGGCCCCUGCACCAGGUGCAGUUUCCACCGUCACCAUCGCCGAUCCCCGCGUGGGCGACCGGCUCGUCUCCGGGCCAGGUAUACUCCACGGCGCCGGACCACCCGACGCCCUCGCUACGAUUCGAUCACCCUCCAGCUCAGCGAACUACGCCCCGGCGCUUUCCGAACCGGCAUACGCGCUGCCGGCGACUGUGGCCGCCCCCGGGCACGGCGGGCCGCCACCCCCUCGCUUCGCCAAGCUGGACUUCGCCACCUACGAGGGCACGGACGACCCCCUCAACUGGCUCAACCAGUGCGAGUAGUUCUUUCGAGGGCAACGGACACUCGCUUCGGAUCAUACCUGGCUCACUUCCUAUCAUCUUCGAGGCGCAGCACAAACUUGGUACUACGCUCUCGAGCAGGACGAGGGCGGCAUGCCACCAUGGGAGCGCUUCCGGGAGCUUUAUCUCCUCCGCUUUGGGCCUCCUAUCCGCGGGAGCCGACUGGCGGCCCUCGGUCGUCUACCUUUCACAUCUACGGUGCAGGACUACGCUGACCGCUUCCAGGCCCUGGCGUGCCACGCGCUGGGCGUCUCCGCGACCCAGCGCACCGAGCUCUUUGUGGGCGGCCUGCUGGACCAUAUUCGCGUGGACGUCGAGCUCCGGGACCCCCCGACCUCCAGACGGCCAUGUACUACGCCCGGGCCUUCGAGCAGCGGGCCCAGGCACUGCAGCAGCCACUCGGACGGAACGGCCGCCAGCCCAGUCGGCCCGCUCUGACUCCCCCAGCCCCAGGUCGGCCUCCUCCAGCCGCGACGGCCACACCCCCGGCCGCCACACGACCUUUCCGUCGGUUGUCACCGGCCGAGCAACAGGAGCGCCGCCGUUAGGGUCUCUGCUUCAACUGCGAUGAGCCAUACACGCCGACCCAUGUCUGCCCCCGCCUAUUUUAUUUGGAGACGGUCGACUACACUGAGGUGGACGACUCGCCCGACGCACUACCUCCACCAGCGGCGCCCGAGGACGCGGCCACGGAUCCCGCGGCGACGGCGUGCGUCGUCUCCCUUCAUGCGCUGGCCGGCAUCCGGGGCGAGCGGACCAUGCUGCUGCCUGUGAUGAUACAUGGCGCGUGCCUAGUGGCCCUGCUGGAUACGGGCUCCACUCACAACUUUCUGCCCGAGUCGACCAUGCGUCGACUAGCCCUUCCGAUGACAGGCGGGGAGCACCUGCGGAUCACGGUGGCGAACGGCGAUCGCCUCCGGUGCCAUGGACUCGCCCGCAACGUUCCCAUCUCCAUCGGCGGCGAACACUUCUCCAUCACCUCGGCUGCUUCGACUUCAUUCUCGGGGUGGACUUCCUCCGGACCCUCGGCCCCAUCCUGUGGGAUUUCGAUGCGCUCCCGAUGACAUUUUGGCGGCAGGGCCGCCGCAUCCGGUGGGAGGGCCUUGGGGGCGUCGCGCCGGCCGUGCCACACCUCUAGUUGGCCGCCACGUCCUCGGAGGCCGAGCACCCCCUGCUGGAUUCCCUUCUGCAGCAGCACAACAACCUCUUCGACGAGCCGUAGGGUCUUCCAGCUGCCCGGGUGUACGACCAUCAUAUUCACCUCAUACCGGGCUCCACUCUGGUGGCGGUGCGGCCCUACCGCUACCCCUAGCUGCAGAAGGAUGAGUUGGAGCGCCAGUGUGCACUGAUGCUCGCCGCGGGCAUCAUCCGGAUCUCCAUGUCGCCCUUCUCGGUGUCGGUGCUUCUCGUCCGUAAGUCGGACGGCACAUGGCGCUUCUGCAUCGACUACCGCUCCCUCAACGCGCUCACGCUCAAGGACAAGUUCCCUAUACCGGUGGUCGACGAGCUCUUGGAUGAGCUCCACGGGGCGCGCUUCUUCACCAAGCUCGAUCUCCGGUCAGGCUAUCAUCAGGUGCGCAUGCAUCCGGACGACAUCGCCAAGACAACAUUUCGCACCCACCAUGGUAACUUCGAGUUCUUGGUGAUGCCCUUCGGCCUCGCCAACGCCCCGGCGACGUUCCAUGCCCUGAUGAAUGACGUCCUUUGACCCUACUUACGGUGGUUUGUGCUUGUUUUCUUUGAUGACAUUCUUCUCUACAGCGCCACCUGGGCCGAGCAUCUCUAGCACGUCGCCAUCAUCUUCAACGAGCUUCGGGCGCACCACCUCCACCUUAAGUGCUCGAAGUGCUCGUUCGGGACGCCUACCGUCGCCUACCUCGGCCAUGUCAUCUCGGCCGACGGGGUGGCUAUGGACGCCGAUAAGGUAGUGGCCGUCUCCGCAUGGCCAACGCCUCACUCGCCGCGGGCUCUCCGCGGGUUCCUCAGACUCGCCGGCUACUACCGGGAAUUUAUCCGGGAGUUCGGACUCAUCGCGGCGCCCCUCACACAGUUGCUUCGCCGCGACGCCUUCGCCUGGGACGACGAGGCGACGACGGUGUUCGAGACCCUCAAGGAGGCCCUCACGACGGGCCCUGUCCUCCAAAUGCCAGACUUUGACCGCCCGUUUGUGGUGGACUGUGACACCUCGGGCACCGGUUUCGGCGCCGUACUUCAUCAGGGCGAUGGGCCCCUCGCUUUCUUCAGUCGGCCUUUCGCGCCGCGCCAUCUUAAGUUGGCAGCUUACGAGCGGGAGCUCAUUGGCCUCGUCCAGGCCGUGCGUCAUUGGCGACCAUACUUGUGGGGGCGGACCUUCCAUAUUCGCACGGACCACUACAGCCUGAAGUUCUUGCUGGAUCAACGGUUGUCGACCGUUCCGCAGCACCAGUGGAUCAGCAAGCUCUUCGGCUUUGACUUCUCCAUCGAGUAUCGGCCGGGCCAUCUUAACACCGUGGCCGACACGCUGUCCCGUCGCGAUUCUGACCUCGCGCCACCCGCCGACGCGUCCGCCGGGACGGCCCUGUGCAUCCGCUCCGGGCCAUCGUUCGGUCUCUUCGCCGACAUUUGCCGCGCCACUGCGACGGUCGAUGACGCCGCACUUCUUUAGCAGCAGCUCGCGGGCGGGGACUUGGAGGAGCCCUGGCGCUUCUCUGACAGACUGCUCCUCCAUGGGCGCCGGAUCUUUGUUCCGGCUCAUGAUGAUCUCCGUCACCAGGUGUUACAACUCGCCCACUCGGCGGGCCAUGAGGGUGUGCAGAAAACCCUCCAUCGUCUUCACGCCGACUUCUACAUCCCUGGCGAUCGUGCCUUGGUCCGCGACUGGGUUCGGUCUUGUCAGACUUGCCAGCGCAACAAGACAGAGACCCUGAGGCCGGCUGGGCUCCUUCAGCCCUUGGAAGUGCAGUCUCAGGUCUGGGUGGAUAUCUCCAUGGACUUCAUCGAGGGCCUUCCCAAGGUGGGGGGCAAGUCGGUCAUCCUCACGGUGGUCGAUCGCUUCUCUAAGUACGCCCACUUCAUUGCGCUCGGCCAUUCGUACACGGCGGCGUCCGUGGCCCGGGCCUUCUUCGACGGCAUCGUCCGUCUACACGGGUUCCCUACUUCGAUUGUCUGUGAUCGGGACCCAGUCUUCACGGGCCAUGUCUGGCGCGACCUCUUCAGGAUGGCAGGUGUCCAGCUCCGCCUGAGUACGGAAUUCCAUCCUUAGACGGACGGUCAGUCUAAGGUGGUUAACAAGUUCAUUGCCAUGUAUUUGUGUUGUGUGACAGGUGAUCGGCCUCGAGCUUGGGUGGACUGGCUCUCUUGGGCGGAGUACUGCUACAACACCUCUUAUCACUCCGCCCUGCGCACGACGCCAUUUGAGGUGGUCUAUGGUCGACCACCCCCACCUAUACUUCCGGUCGACCCGGAGACGGCUCGGACGGCGGUUGCGGGUGACCUUAUCCGCACCCGUGAUGAGAUGCUGGCUGAGGUCCGUCAGCGUCUACUUCAGGCCCAGCAGACGGCCAAGCACUACUACGACGAUCCUCAUCGCGAGGCAGAGUUCACAGUGGGUGACUGGGUGUGGCUGCGUCUUCUCCACCGCUCUACGCAGUCACUAGACCCGCGCGCAAAGCGCAAGCUCGGCCCUCGCUACGCCGGGCCCUUCCCUAUCAUGGAGCGCAUCAGGAAGGUGGCCUAUCGUCUUCAGCUUCCAGCCCGCGCUCGCAUCCACGGCGUGUUCGAUGUGGGGCUUCUCAAGCCUUUCCGUGGCGAGCCACCGGCGGCCCCUCCGGCGCUUCCUCCAACCGCCGAUGGUCGCAUUCUUCCAGAGCCAGCAAAGGUUUUGUCGGCCCAGCUCCGUCGUGGCAUCUGAUUCGUCUUAAUUCAGUGGGCAGGCCUUCCAGAGGAGGAGGCUACUUGGGAACAGCGUGAGCAAUUCCGUCAACACUAUCCAGACUUUCAGCUCGAGGACGAGCUGUUUGCGCAGGCGGGGAGAGAUGUUAUGACCGGUUUGGUCUAUACUAGGAAAAGGCCCACCGGGCAUUAGUAUUAGGGGCUUGGCCCACAAGUUAUCUUAGGCAAGUUAUCUCAGGCAAGUUAUCUUAGGCUAAAGUUAUAAAUACUCGUGUAAGACAUCGUUUGAGAUCAAGCAAUAAGAAGAAUAUUAUCUCCUAUUGCCCGGCUCCUUGAGGAGCCGGAAACCCUAGCCGCCAACAGCCCUAACCAUCGCCGCCCUUCUCCUAGCUCGCGACGGCGCCCUGCCGCCGGCGCUCCCGUUCCUCGCCACACCCUCCUCCAUCCUUCCCUUACCACCUACGGCCUAGACCUGGUAGAGUACUUGAUUCUACCAGGUCAUGUUUUUCAUGCCCAACAGGUGUUACCUUCGAUAAAGCAUGCAAACCAUUUACUAUAUCUUUGUCCAUUUUAGGGGAGAGCAUUUCAAAGGAAUCAUGGACUGGAGGUGUAAGUUACAUGACAAGCUAUUUUGCUCACGCGGUUUGAUGAAAAAAUUCAUGAAGUCCAAUUCCCUGUUUAUUUGGCUCAUGAUUAAUGUUUUUUUAACUUCCAAAUGUUGGCUAGCAAUUGAUAUUCUAUGAUUAAACAUGUCAUAAUACAUUGAUUUAUUGUCACUGUUACAUUUGAUAAUUUAUAAUCACAUAAAUGAACUUAAAUUGUUCCGGGCCUGGCAUGUUUAGCAUUUGUUUACAUUACAGUACAAUGAAUAUAUGAUGGAAACAACAUCGCAAGCUCACUCAGCACUAUUGGCCGGCACAGCAAAACAUGGAUACGCUUCUAGUUUACAUGACGAGUACUUCAUUUGUUUGCAUCGUGCAUGCAUGUUUAGCGUUCAAAAUAAAAUAUUAUGUUGUAACAAAACCUUAAUCUAAUGAUACCAAAAGUACAUGUAGAAUAAGGCUACUUAGUGCAUUCCUAGUACAUGAUAUCGGAACUCCUGGAAAUUAUCAUUCUUGAGCUGAUUAUGUGUCUCCAUUCACACCUCUUCCUAUUUAAUUGCAGAAUGCUCAUACUGAAAAUAGCAAUGCAGCCAAGUUAGGUGGUCUUCACCAAGUCACUAAGCAGGUACAUAUAUGCUAGGUAUCCAAACGGUUGUAUAAUUGUAGUUGGUCUAAUUCUCUAUGAAAUUGUCCUUCUUUGCGUAAAGUGAAAUCUUCUCAGUUUUAUGAAUAACAAAUGUUUCAUUUCUUGCAAAAAUGGGAUAAAACUGAAGUCAUGUUCUUUUCAAUCAAUUUGAGAAGCAAAAACAAACCCGUGACCAAUGGAAUUUUAGGGGGUAAAGAUAGAACAUAUGUGGUUGAAGGAGACAUGCUUGGAGAGAAGUAUGGUGCAGUCUCUGUCUGUGGCUCUACAAAUCUAGGUGAUGUGAACUGGUUAGACCAUAUGAAAAAUUCCAAACAGUAGGAGAUGUUGGUUAUGUUUUUGCUUGGCCUUGCUCACAUGUAAGUAUGUUUCCAUACAAACAUCGAGUGUGCUCCAAUAUCCACAUUUAAGAUACUUUAGUUAUCAAAAUCUUUGUGGCUUUUAGGUACAAAAAACUAUGCCAACCAUUCAAACAAAGCAUUUGUAUGAUACACUUCUUAUGAUUUAUCAAAGAACAACUUAUCUUGCACUUGCCUAAAACAUUGUUCAUUUUCAUUUUCAGGGUGGUUGAGGAUUUGAAAAGAGAGUGCAUUAAGGGAGCCAGGAGUAAUUGGGUAGUUGAGGAUUUGAAAAGGGAGUGCACUGAAGGAGGCAUGAUUAGUUGAUGAACCAGUCUGUGAAUGAACAAGUAUUGUGGCUUAUGUUAUAUUUUAGCCUAAUUGAGAAUCAUAGUUCUAGACUAUAGGAUAUUUUCUUAUUUAUUUGCAUGUUCUAUAUGAAUACCUGUUAAUAUUCAGUUGUGAAUUUCAGUGUAAGUAUCUGUUCGGGCUGAUUAUUCCAUUCAGCUUGCCUUUUUUAGGGAACUCAGCUUGUCAAUUUUGAUAACGUGAAGUUUGCAAAUGCAAUCUAUGACGUGGAAUCAUGGCUUCAUAUGAUGAU
rnacentral:lncRNA from 1 species